AUUGAACGCUGGCGGCAUGCUUUACACAUGCAAGUCGAACGGCAGCGCGGGCUUCGGCCUGGCGGCGAGUGGCGAACGGGUGAGUAGUACAUCGGAACGUGCCCAGUAGUGGGGGAUAGCUCGGCGAAAGCCGGAUUAAUACCGCAUACGACCUGAGGGUGAAAGCGGGGGAUCUUCGGACCUCGCGCUAUUGGAGCGGCCGAUGGCAGAUUAGCUAGUUGGUGGGGUAAAGGCCUACCAAGGCGACGAUCUGUAGCUGGUCUGAGAGGACGACCAGCCACACUGGGACUGAGACACGGCCCAGACUCCUACGGGAGGCAGCAGUGGGGAAUUUUGGACAAUGGGCGAAAGCCUGAUCCAGCAAUGCCGCGUGUGUGAUGAAGGCCUUCGGGUUGUAAAGCACUUUUGGCGGGAACGAAAAGGACUGUGCCAAUACCACGGUUCGAUGACGGUACCCGCAGAAUAAGCACCGGCUAACUACGUG
rnacentral:rRNA from 1 species